rnacentral:rRNA from 1 species
UAGGGAAUCUUCCACAAUGGACGCAAGUCUGAUGGAGCAACGCCGCGUGAGUGAAGAAGGUUUUCGGAUCGUAAAGCUCUGUUGUUGGUGAAGAAGGAUAGAGGUAGUAACUGGCCUUUAUUUGACGGUAAUCAACCAGAAAGUCACGGCUAACUACGUGCCAGCAGCCGCGGUAAUACGUAGGUGGCAAGCGUUGUCCGGAUUUAUUGGGCGUAAAGCGAGCGCAGGCGGAAGAAUAAGUCUGAUGUGAAAGCCCUCGGCUUAACCGAGGAACUGCAUCGGAAACUGUUUUUCUUGAGUGCAGAAGAGGAGAGUGGAACUCCAUGUGUAGCGGUGGAAUGCGUAGAUAUAUGGAAGAACACCAGUGGCGAAGGCGGCUCUCUGGUCUGCAACUGACGCUGAGGCUCGAAAGCAUGGGUAGCGAACAGGAUUAGAUACCCUGGUAGUCCAUGCCGUAAACGAUGAGUGCUAAGUGUUGGGAGGUUUCCGCCUCUCAGUGCUGCAGCUAACGCAUUAAGCACUCCGCCUGGGGAGUACGACCGCAAGGUUGAAACUCAAAGGAAUUGACGGGGGCCCGCACAAGCGGUGGAGCAUGUGGUUUAAUUCGAAGCAACGCGAAGAACCUUACCAGGUCUUGACAUCUAGUGCCAUUUGUAGAGAUACAAAGUUCCCUUCGGGGACGCUAAGACAGGUGGUGCAUGGCUGUCGUCAGCUCGUGUCGUGAGAUGUUGGGUUAAGUCCCGCAACGAGCGCAACCCUUGUUAUUAGUUGCCAGCAUUAAGUUGGGCACUCUAAUGAGACUGCCGGUGACAAACCGGAGGAAGGUGGGGAUGACGUCAAGUCAUCAUGCCCCUUAUGACCUGGGCUACACACGUGCUACAAUGGACGGUACAACGAGAAGCGACCCUGUGAAGGCAAGCGGAUCUCUGAAAGCCGUUCUCAGUUCGGAUUGCAGGCUGCAACUCGCCUGCAUGAAGCUGGAAUCGCUAGUAAUCGCAAAUCAGCACGUUGCGGUGAAUACGUUCCCGGGCCU